CAGGAACUUUGGAAAUUAACUGACGUUCAGUAUUCCUGUAAUCUUAAUUAACAACACAGUGUUAACACAAUUGGUAACACAAACGUACACAUUUCUGAAAAACCUGAAAUGGACUGGGAAUUAUGAGGCAAUUCUACUCUGGUGAAGUCUGCUGUGGUGAUCUGGAAUGUGCAAAUAAUGAGAGGACAGAAGCAGAACAAGGAUCCAGCCUUAUUCAGGCAUGAGACCUUAGGACUUCGAUAGCUGUUUCGCUCUUGUGCAUGACAGAUGUCACAAACGGGGAAUUCAAAGUCCAUUGGCCAGAUCACAACACAGACCUGGGAUGCUGAACUGUGAAAAAAAUCUUGAGUGCCCUUCUUAAAACAAGAGUAUACAAAUACACCACCACCACCGUUAAUGAAGUUCCAAAAGUAUUGGCUCAACUUGUGGAACUUGAAAAGUGACUGAGUCGCAGUCCUGAGAAGAAAUAGUCAUCAUGGCAUGCCUGAACUUCUUUCCAGUCAACAGAUGUUUGCAUGGCUGCUCAUUCAUCUGUCCAGAUCCAUGAGGACUCUUGUAGCACUACAGGAAAGAUGGAUCCCAGUUUGGCAUUUCACUACGGAUUUCUGUGCUGACUGCUGCAUCAACUUCACAGGCGUUUGCCCUUUUAAUGGAGGAGGAACAGGGUGAAGAAAAUCAUGUAGAUCUGGUGCUAGGGAUAAAAGUGCUCAGAAAGUUCAUAAAACAAGUUCAUUAACAGCAAUUAUGUGGGUAAGCUCAUAAGAACAUGUAGCCAUUGCAUGUGGCAGCUCUUUUGUUGUUAUGACUGACAUAAAGUAAUGGCUCUCAAAGGGAUGAUCAUUGUGUUGGUUUUGACAAGUUAAAUUAUUCCGCUGGCUUAUUUGGAUGAGUAAGUUUUCAUUUGGUGAUAACACAUGAAGUCCCUGCUGACUACGGAUGCCCAGGAAGAUUGGUGGCCUAGGAGAAAAAUCCUAGUUUCAUGUUGCCAACAUUUGACAUGACACUGGAGGGACUGGUUAUAGUCAGUACUGGUGACUCACUGCUUUCUUUUCCUAAGGCAUCUCAGCCAAAUAAACCAGCAGUUCUGCUGGAGUUGCUAGAUGCU
rnacentral:lncRNA from 1 species